rnacentral:rRNA from 1 species
AGUGAACGCUGGCGGUAGGCCUAACACAUGCAAGUCGAACGGCAGCACAGUAAGAGCUUGCUCUUACGGGUGGCGAGUGGCGGACGGGUGAGGAAUACAUCGGAAUCUACUUUUUCGUGGGGGAUAACGUAGGGAAACUUACGCUAAUACCGCAUACGACCUACGGGUGAAAGCAGGGGAUCUUCGGACCUUGCGCGAUUGAAUGAGCCGAUGUCGGAUUAGCUGGUUGGCGGGGUAAAGGCCCACCAAGGCGACGAUCCGUAGCUGGUCUGAGAGGAUGGUCAGCCCCACUGGAACUGAGACACGGUCAAGACUCCUACGGGAGGCAGCAGUGGGGAAUAUUGGACAAAGGGGGCAAGCAUGUUCCAGCCAUACCGCGUGCGUGAAGAAGGCCUUCGGGUUGUAAAACCCUGUUGUUGGGAUAGAAAAGCAGCAGGUUAAUACCCCGCUGUUCUGACGGUACCCAAAGAAUAAGCACCGGCUAACUUCGUG